CUUGGCCAUAAGAAAUCUAUUUAUACUGACUAGCAAAUCCCACAAAUCAGAAAGGCUCAAGGGAAAAAUAUAUAGAAUAGCUGUAUUUAGAAACGAGAAAAUGUCAAGUUUUCAUUAUUUCACCAGCCACAAUAACAUCUGCAUCUUCUCACUCACCAUGCCCAAUUUCAGCUACCACUAUUACUAUUCUUUCAAGCUAUUAACUUUUUUUAUCCCAAGAGAUUUAUUAGUUCAAAUUAGAAACAAGGCUGAUUCACAUGUCAAUCCCUUCUCCCUCUCUUCCCUCCCAAUCAGCCCCCCUCAUCUCCCCUCUGCUCCCCAGGGAGGGUAAGGCCCUCUGUGGGGGUUCCCCAAAGUCUGUCAUAUCCUUGGCAGGGCCUAGGCCUCUCCCAUGUGUCCAGACUGAGAGCAUCCCCCCUUGUGGAAUGGGCUCCCAAAGUCCCUUCUUACGCCAGGUGCCUCCUCAUUGACAUCCACAUUCAGAGGUAGGGAUCAGCCCUGUGCUGGCCUCCCAGACAUCACUCUGGGUCCAUGUGCUCCCCCCAAGCUAUUAAUUUUGAAAAAAAACUAAUUAUGUACAGUGUUCUGUCUGCAUGAAUCCCUGCAGGCCACAAGAGGGCACCAGAUCUCAUUAUAAAUGUGAGCCACCAUGUGAAUGCUGGGAAUUAACUCAAUCUCUGGAGAGCAGUCAGUUGAAUACUCUUAAGCUCUGAGCCAUCUCUCCAGCUAUUACUAUUCUUAAUGUCCAAUUAAUUUAUGUCAUAAUUGGCAUGUUUUACACAAAAUUCCACUUAGUGGAUGCAGAGAUGGCUCAAUCACAGCAGGUACUGAUCCUAUAGAGAAAGAAUUUGUUAAGUGUCAAUGACUCAUCUUCAAGGGAUCUAACACAGCUAUGUAUCCCUGCCCAGGAUAAUACAUAUGCAAACAGAAAUGUACAAUUUCACAUGAUUAAAAAAAAAGAAAAAACAAAGCCUAUAUUUGUAAUAUCACCUACCAGGACUGGAAAGAUGGUUCCUAAGAAUUUGUUCCUCUUGGCAGGUAGUAGCAGCACAUGCCUUUAAUACAAGCACUUGGGAGGCAGAGGCAGGUGAACUUGAGGCUAGCCUGGUCUACAAAGCUAGUUAAUAUCAAGACAGCUAGGGCUCUUACAUAGAGAAGCCUGUUUUGGAAAAAUACAAAUUAUUUGUUGUCAUGUAGAAGACUAAGUACAGUUGCCUGCAGGGAUACGGCAGCUCAUCUACAUCUUAACUCCAGACUGAAUAUCCUUUUCUGUACUGGACACAAGGCACAGAGUGCACAUAACUACAUAAAAUCAAAUACCCAGGCACAUAUAACUAAUCUUUCAAAUGUUAAGCCCAUUUACACUGAAAAUAACUACCCUUACAGCUUCAUCAUUAUUACCUAAUGGUAAUUAACAUAGACUGAUGACACAAACUUGAUAGCCUCUACAAUCAGGAACCAACAAACUAAAGCUAAAACAAGAUCCAACACCUUUGGGAAUGCAAGAACUUUAUUCAAAGUGCAAUGAAACUUGUUAACAACUUAAAAGAUGGGGUAAAUUAAAACACCUCCCCUCAAGCCCAAGAACAAGCACAAGGUGUGCUCUUUCUAGACAGUGUAGUGAGAAAGGUGCGUCCAUCUUCCUGUUUGCUUUUCUUGAUGGUGUUACUGGGCUCAACCUCCAGGGUGAUGGUCUUGCCUGUCAGGGUCUUCACAAAGAUCUGCAUCCCACCCCUGAGGCGGAGGACCAGGUGCAGGGUAGACUCCUUCUGGAUGUUGUAGUCGGACAGGGUGCAGGGUGGACUCCUUCUGGAUGUUGUAGUCGGACAGGGUGCGGCCAUCUUCCAGCUGCUUGCCGGCAAAGAUCAACCUCUGCUGGUCAG
rnacentral:lncRNA from 1 species